rnacentral:ncRNA from 1 species
GCGGUACCGGUUCACGCCCUAGGGCGACCCGGCGACC